rnacentral:lncRNA from 1 species
GCCACUGCAGAUCUUUAAGAUCCCCAUAGUGAAUGGACAUUUCUGGCCUGCAUCUGACAGAGAUAUUCUCAGGCCAAGAAGAAAGCAAAGAAGGGACACCAGUGCUGUGUCAAGAGGGCAGAUGGCUUGGAGAGGGGCAAAGGAUCAAAAGUGCUUUAAAAACCCAUAGCUUCAAGCUUGAAAUUUUUAUGCAGCUGCAUGUAAGAGUGCAGUGAAACAGAUAAAAGCAGGAGAGACCUC